GUCCACGCCGUAAACGAUGUCAACUAGCCGUUGGCCCUUUCUCAAGGGCAAGUGGCGCAGCUAACGCAUUAAGUUGACCGCCUGGGGAGUACGGCCGCAAGGUUAAACUCAAAUGAAUUGACGGGGCCCGCACAAGCGGUGGAGCAUGUGGUUUAAUUCGAUGCAACGCGAAGAACCUUACCUACCCUUGACAUCCAGAGAAUCUGUUAGAGAUAGUAGAGUGCCUUCGGGAGCUCUGAGACAGGUGCUGCAUGGCUGUCGU
rnacentral:rRNA from 1 species